rnacentral:pre_miRNA from 1 species
CCGUCCGGCGUCUCAGGCGUCGCAGGACUGCCGUCCUGUGUGUGGCGGUGGGACCCCGCGCUUGUUUUCCUAGUGGCCCAUCCGUG